rnacentral:rRNA from 1 species
GAGUGAACGCUGGCGGUAGGCCUAACACAUGCAAGUCGAACGGCAGCACAGUAAGAGCUUGCUCUUACGGGUGGCGAGUGGCGGACGGGUGAGGAAUACAUCGGAAUCUACUUUUUCGUGGGGGAUAACGUAGGGAAACUUACGCUAAUACCGCAUACGACCUACGGGUGAAAGCAGGGGAUCUUCGGACCUUGCGCGAUUGAAUGAGCCGAUGUCGGAUUAGCUAGUUGGCGGGGUAAAGGCCCACCAAGGCGACGAUCCGUAGCUGGUCUGAGAGGAUGAUCAGCCACACUGGAACUGAGACACGGUCCAGACUCCUACGGGAGGCAGCAGUGGGGAAUAUUGGACAAUGGGCGCAAGCCUGAUCCAGCCAUACCGCGUGGGUGAAGAAGGCCUUCGGGUUGGAAAGCCCUUUUGUUGGGAAAGAAAAGCAGCAGGUUAAUACCCCGCUGUUCUGACGGUACCCAAAGAAUAAGCACCGGCUAACUUCGUG